GAUGAACGCUGGCGGCGUGCUUAACACAUGCAAGUCGAGCGAGAAGUUUUGAAAAGAUUCUUCGGAUGCAAUUUAAAAUGGAAAGCGGCGGACGGGUGAGUAACGCGUAGGCAACCUGCCCCAUACAAAGGGAUAGCAUUUGGAAACGAAUAUUAAUACCUUAUGAAACUUAACUAGUGCAUGCUAGGUAGGUCAAAGAUUUAUCGGUAUGGGAUGGGCCUGCGUCUGAUUAGCUAGUUGGUGAGGUAACGGCUCACCAAGGCGACGAUCAGUAGCCGACCUGAGAGGGUGAACGGCCACAUUGGAACUGAGACACGGUCCAAACUCCUACGGGAGGCAGCAGUGGGGAAUAUUGCACAAUGGGGGAAACCCUGAUGCAGCAACGCCGCGUGAACGAGGAAGGCCUUUGGGUCGUAAAGUUCUGUUCUAGGUGAUGAAAACUGACAGUAACCUAGGAGAAAGCCCCGGCUAACUCCGUG
rnacentral:rRNA from 1 species